GAUGAAGAACGUAGUGAAAUGCGAUAAGUAAUGUGAAUUGCAGAAUUCAGUGAAUCAUCGAAUCUUUGAACGCACAUUGCGCCCCCUGGUAUUCCGGGGGGCAUGCCUGUCCGAGCGUCAUUACAACCCUCAAGCUCAGCUUGGUGUUGGGCCCCGCCGCCCCGGCGGGCCCUAAAGUCAGUGGCGGUGCCGUCCGGCUCCGAGCGUAGUAAUCCUUCUCGCUCUGGAGGUCCGGUCGUGUGCUCGCCAGCAACCCCCAAUUUUUUUCAGGUUGAACUCGGAUCAGGUAGGGAUACCCGCUGAACUUAAGCAUAUCAAUAAGCGGAGGA
rnacentral:misc_RNA from 1 species